GUGGGAACGUACCCUUCACUACGGAAUAGCUUCUGGAAACGGAAGGUAAUACCGUAUACGCCCUCCGGGGGAAAGAUUUAUCGGUGAAGGAUCGGCCCGCGUUAGAUUAGUUUGUUGGUGGGGUAAUGGCCUACCAAGACUACGAUCUAUAGCUGGUCUGAGAGGAUGAUCAGCCACACUGGGACUGAGACACGGCCCAGACUCCUACGGGAGGCAGCAGUGGGGAAUCUUGCACAAUGGGCGAAAGCCUGAUGCAGCCAUGCCGCGUGAAUGAUGAAGGCCUUAGGGUUGUAAAAUUCUUUCGCCAGGGAUGAUAAUGACAGUACCUGGUAAAGAAGCCCCGGCUAACUUCGUGCCAGCAGCCGCGGUAAUACGAAGGGGGCUAGCGUUGUUCGGAAUUACUGGGCGUAAAGCGCGCGUAGGCGGGCUAUUAAGCCAGAUGUGAAAGCCCGGAGCUCAACUCCGGAAUUGCAUUUGGAACUGGUAGCCUAGAGACCAGGAGAGGUUAGCGGAAUACCGAGUGUAGAGGUGAAAUUCGUAGAUAUUCGGUGGAACACCAGUGGCGAAGGCGGCUAACUGGACUGGUACUGACGCUGAGGCGCGAAAGUGUGGGGAGCAAACAGGAUUAGAUACCCUGGUAGUCCACACCG
rnacentral:rRNA from 1 species